CUCAAACAUAAAUUCUAGUAGAUUGCCACUGACAUUUCUAACUGCAAAAUUCUAUUAUUCUAUAUAAAAUGCUUCAUAAUUUCUCCUUAGUUUUUCCAUUAGACAUACAGCCUCAAUCUCUUUAAACUUUCCUUGUAGAUGAUCUAUUUUUGUUUUUUAUAAUUUAUUGAAAUAAACUUUUAAACAUUAUUUUUAUUUUCAAGACAAUUACUUAAUUCAUCUCCAAUAAAAUAGUUUUCUUUUAUCUAUGUAACAGAAUAGAGAAAUUAUUGAAUUGGCAUUCAGAACACCUGGACUGCAUUGUCCUUACAUGGCUGCACAGAAGGUCACAGGCUCAUCUUUGCUGGAAGAAAGGAAAGGAGGCCCACCAUGGUGGUUCUGAUCAGAUACUAAGCUCAGUUGUUUAUAUGUAA
rnacentral:lncRNA from 1 species